CAAAGACUUUGGAAGAAGGGAUCCAGAGAGCAUUUGACAUCACUGAAUCAUGCCUUUCUAGUUUUCCUCAAUAUCAGCAGCGAUUUUGAUCUUUGUCAGAGAGGCUCAGAUUUAUGCCCAUUGGCCACAUCUACACAUGGCAGGAGAAGGAAGACUAGAAGUUGUGUCACCGGGGUAAGUUGGAAGCAAGAGAGCCAAUCCUGCGCAGGCACACUGUGACUGGCAAAGUCAACCUAUCCAUGUACCACAGGAAAAAAAUUCAGGGGCACACGAAGUUCUCAACUGUGAAGGUGCCAGAAGUUCUCUGGAUUCAAAGUGUGUCUAUCCAGAUGGACAGAUUGAGGAGCCAGACUCUUCAUUGCUCUCUCUGCUCUAAAAACUCUCAGCAUUUCAUUUGAACACAUCAAAGCAGCCUGGGAUUAAAGACAAAAUGAGCUUGACACUACAAAAAUGGUGCCAGCUUGGACUUCAUGACAUUUCAGCCUUGAGAAGGCUGGUCUUAG
ensembl:lncRNA